CAAAGGUUUGGGGCCUGAGGGUGUCCAAAAUAUAGUGCCCUGGAAGGCCCAUUAUUAAAGACAUUUGGGGAUCAGCAGAUGCUGAAAGAGGCCUCCCCAAGUUCCUUCACCUUCUAAGGCCAGGUCCACAAAAGAGGAGUUCAAUCACGUUGGAUCUUCUGUCUGGAAUGCCAUUCACCAAGGAAGGCUAGACGCAUGUCACAGAGGAAGAGACACUAGAGCCAGGACCUUGUUCCCCAGGCCUUCCUCCCCCUAAAAGGCAUCAACUAGCCCCUUCCCCUUUCCCAGGCAGGAGGGUGUGUGGCUCCCGAGUCCCACCGGGUACUGAGUGCUCAGCUUCCUGCAAGCCCUGGGGUGUUAAUAAAUCUGGGUGCUUCUCCCCCUGCUGACCUGUUAUCAGAUUGUCUCAGUGAAACUUCAGAGGGUCCAGGGGAGGGUCCUUCACUCCUUAGGUCAAGCUGAUGGAAAUAAAGGGAAGACCCAUGGACUUCUCACCCAGAACUUGUUCUACUUUCCUGGUGAAUAUCUGCAGUCUGUUUGGCAGGGCUGGACACCUGCAAUGCUUUCUCAGCCAAAUGAUUUCAAGAGCUUGCCUGGAGGUCCCAGAGGGGACCUGUAUACCCUCCCCUUUGAGCAUGCAGCUUUGGGAGACUAUACAGGGAGCUCUGAGGGAGGAAGGGGACACCAGCCGGGGUCCCUGAGGCAACCCUGGUGAUCAAGGAGGCGACCGAUGCCACAGUGAGACCACCCCCACACCCACAGGGAAUUUUGAUGUGGAUUCCUCCAAAGUCAGCCGGCUAUGCUCCCUUUUCUACUCACAACCAAGGCCAGUUCACCGGGCAGUUUGGCUCAACCUGCUGGGUCUGACUCUUCUCACUACACUAAAUCUCUAGUCUGUGAAGCUGACGUCUACCCUGGUGCUUCGAUUUCUUGCUCUCGGCCAGAGGUGUAGCCAGACCUGCUGUUGGAGGGAAGGGAAGCUGGGUCC
rnacentral:lncRNA from 1 species